rnacentral:rRNA from 1 species
GACCCUUAGGAAACUAGGGGUGCUUCCAUCUGGAAGAAUCUGGAGACAGGUGCUGCAUGGCUGUCGUCAGCUCGUGUCGUGAGAUGUUGGGUUAAGUCCCGCAACGAGCGCAACCCUUGCCUUUAGUUGCCAGCAGUUCGGCUGGGCACUCUAAAGGGACUGCCGGUGUUAAACCGGAGGAAGGUGGGGAUGACGUCAAGUCCUCAUGGCCUUUAUGACCAGGGCUACACACGUACUACAAUGGCCGAUACAAAGGGCAGCGACACUGCGAGGUGAAGCCAAUCCCGUAAAAUCGGUCUCAGUCCGGAUUGGAGUCUGCAACUCGACUCCAUGAAGUUGGAAUCGCUAGUAAUCGUGGAUCAGAAUGUCACGGUGAAUACGUUCCCGGGCCUU